rnacentral:rRNA from 1 species
GACGAACGCUGGCGGCGUGCUUAACACAUGCAAGUCGAACGGAAAGGCCCUGCUUGCAGGGUACUCGAGUGGCGAACGGGUGAGUAACACGUGGGUGAUCUGCCCUGCACUUCGGGAUAAGCUUGGGAAACUGGGUCUAAUACCGGAUAGGAACCAUCUUUAGUGUGGUGGUUGGAAAGUUUUUUCGGUGUAGGAUGAGCUCGCGGCCUAUCAGCUUGUUGGUGGGGUAAUGGCCUACCAAGGCGGCGACGGGUAGCCGGCCUGAGAGGGUGCACGGCCACAUUGGGACUGAGAUACGGCCCAGACUCCUACGGGAGGCAGCAGUGGGGAAUAUUGCACAAUGGGCGCAAGCCUGAUGCAGCGACGCCGCGUGGGGGAUGAAGGCCUUCGGGUUGUAAACUCCUUUCGCUAGGGACGAAGCUUUGUUGUGACGGUACCUAGAUAAGAAGCACCGGCUAACUACGUG